rnacentral:ncRNA from 1 species
CGCGCCGCACCUGCCCCGUUCGCGGGGCCGGGGAAGCCGUUCGAGCAGCGUCGUGUCGCGGUCCGGGACUGUCCUCAGUCCCGGGUCGUCUCGGCGCGGUUCCGAGCGGUCGCUCCCUCGCGAGGUGCCGCGGGUCAGCGGCUGACGCCAGCCACCUUCCCGACCCGUCUUGAAACACGGACCAAGGAGUCUAACAUGUGCGCGAGCCGCGGGGCAGUACGAAACCCGUAAGGCGAAAUGAAGGUGAACGCCGGCGCGGUCCGGCGGAGGUUGGAUCCCGUCCCGUCGGGGCGGGCGCACUACCGGCCGAUCUUCUCCGCCCUGUCGGCGAGGUCGAGCGAGAGCGUGCAAGUCGGGACCCGAAAGAUGGUGAACUAUGCCUGAGGAGGUUGAAGCCAGAGGAAACUCUGGUGGAGGACCGUAGCGAUUCUGACGUGCAAAUCGAUCGUCAAAUUUGGGUAUAGGGGCGAAAGACUAAUCGAACCGUCUAGUAGCUGGUUCCCUUCGAAGUUUCCCUCAGGAUAGCUGGCGCUCUGUCGCAGUUUUAUCUGGUAAAGCGAAUGAUUAGAGGUCUUGGGGGCGAAACGCCCUCAACCUAUUCUCAAACUUUAAAUUGGUAAGAAGCCCGACUCGCUCGUUUGGAGCCGGUUUUGGAAUGCGAGUGCCAAGUGGGCCACUCUUGGUAAGCAUGACUGGCGAUGCGGGAUGAACCGAACGCCGGGUUAAGGCGCCCGACGCGACGCUCAUCACAGCCCACAAAAGGUGUUGGUUGAUAUAGACAGCAGGACGGUGGCCAUGGAAGUCGGAAACCGCUAAGGAGGGUGUAACAACUCACCUGCCGAAUCAAUCAGCCCUGAAAAUGGAUGGUGCUGGAGCGUCUGGCCUAUACCCGGCCGCCGCGGCGGUACCAUCAUCGAGUUGGUGCGCUAUGCCGCGACAAGUAGGAGGGCCGCCGCGGGCGGUGUAAAAGCCUAUGGCGCAAGCCCUGUUGGAGCACCCGUCAGUGCAGAUCUUGGUGGCAGUAGCA